rnacentral:tRNA from 1 species
GCCCGAGUGGCGGAAUGGUAGACGCAGUGGAUUCAAAAUCCACCGGUAGUGAUACCGUGCCGGUUCGAGUCCGGCUUCGGGCACCA